ensembl:lncRNA
CUGUAAUUGACUGGUAGGGUUGCAACAAAAUUAAAGACCAAAAUAACUUGUGUUCAAAGUUUGCAGGCAUAAAAUGUGAUGUUACUUCAAGGUUUGGAUACAGACUUCAUAAAUAUUCAGGGCUGAAGGUCGCACAGAGCCAAGCCCAAGUUGUUUAAGUCAGCAGAAGGACUACUGCAAGCUUCAAAGGAACUUGAAUACAUUUUUAAGAACAUUUCAGAAUGGUUCUUAUCCUGUGCUGAAGGAUCAUUUAACUAUCAGGAUAAGAAGUACAAGCAGACAGCACCAGGCUCUGUCAUACCCCAUAGAAAUAGACAGCUCUUCCAAGCAGACCAUCUCAUCUGUUCAGAUUACCUGUCAUGUUUGGGGAGAAACUUCUGCCUUUUAAGAAUGUGUGGGAACUUCUACAGAAAGGAUGGCUUAGGCCCAAUUAGUGAGUAUUUAUGUUGUGAACAGAAUUAGAAUCUAAAUGAUACAUACAAAUGCACAAUUUGCUUGCUUGAGCAAUUAGCCUAAGGAUAAUGUGUUUCCUUUACUGGUUAUAUGACUCUGUAAGCUCUGUGUUUUAAAUAAUAUUAUCCAUGUGAUUAAUAUAGAUUGAGGAGAUGUCCAGAAUUAUAAUGAAUAUGAUUACUCUUGAGCUAAACAGAUAAUUGUAUCAGGAGGAAAGAAUUAACCAAAUUGUAUUGGGUUUUGGCAGGCACCCACAUUGAAUAACAAUAUAUUCAGUUUCAUUUUUCCCUUGCUGAUAUAAGCAAUCCGGUCUCCAGAGACAAACAGAUGUACGGAGCUUGCUCCAUCACCUUUUUCACAGUACUAUUCUUGUGUUCUCUCAGUAGCAACAAGCUGGUAACGGCAGCAAUUUGACACAGAAAUUCAGGAAUGAAGAAUCUGCCUGAACACACAGGAAACAUUUGAAUUAUAGCAAUAUUUUUUAAAUCUCCUGCUGUUUCUUUUUCUUUUCCUUUUUGUUUACGUGCAUUUUAAUAAUCAGAGACCUUAAAUCCAAGGUCUCUGAAUGCAAUCCAUUUAAGCUUAACAGGAAGUUCAUUAAUUUGGAUUCAUUGACUUUUACCUCUUGGAAAAAGUUACAAUUACUGUAACUGCUCCUCAUUUGGAAAUCUUUUGAGGCCAGUGGUGUGCCUGAUGUCUCCCACUUUGGUCUUGGCUGUUUCAAAGUGUGCUCCAGUUUAGUUCUUGCUGAAAUGCCAAGUAACUAAAGAUUGUCCCCAGUGGUAAUGUUAACAUUUUUUUUUUUAAAUUCUGUGCAGACCCAAAUCUUUUCCAAAUAAAAGGCUUUGACUGAAAAUUUCGUAGACACCCAAACCAUAACUGAAGGCCAAGAUGUCAAAUGUUACAAAUACGGUACCUACAUAAAAAGCUCCCCAGUCAGAUCUUGUCUCAUCUGUGUUUGUCUCAAUCAGACAUUAAAAGUGAGAUAUUUCAUCCUUACUGUACCCAAGAAUGAAAAUUUCUAAACUGAUCUUGUAUUUGUGGAUCUGGAAACAUUACAGAUCAUCCUGUCCUCUCAUCAAAACAUGUUCUCUUGUUGUGUGACUUGGACUGAGAUUAAUGGGUUUGACAAUUAUGAAGUCCAGACCUGUAGUAUGUGUAAAUAGUUAAUAAAAACAUUAUGCAUUCUACAUCCAUUUGUAAGCC